rnacentral:misc_RNA from 1 species
UCCGGUUUGUCACCGGCAGUCUCGCAUGAGUCCCCAACUAAAUGCUGGCAACAUGCGACGGGGGUUGCGCUCGUUGCGGGACUUAACCCAACAUCUCACGACACGAGCUGACGACAGCCAUGCAGCACCAUGUCAAGUCCAGGUAAGGUUCUUCGCGUUGCAUCGAAUUAAAGAACAUGCUCCGCUGCUUGUGCGGGCCCCCGUCAAUUCUUUUGAGUUUUAGCCUUGCGGCCGUAGUCCCCAGGCGGGGCACUUACUGCGUUUGCGGCGGCACCGGGGGGGUCGAUACCCCCGACACCUAGCACCCAUCGUUUACGGCGUGGACUAC